GGCAGCAUAGUGUAGUGGUUUGAGUGCUGGACUAGGACUCCAGGAGAUCAGAGUUUAAAUCCCUGUUUGGCCA